CCAAGGAGUUUAGCGUGCUCGCGAGUCAUUGGGUGUUACAAAACCUAAAGGCGAAAUGAAAGUAAAGAGCUGUCAUUUGACUCUCGAGGGAGGAUGAGCUACUGCUCUGGUCGUUCUAACCGACGACUGAGCGUGUCUCCGCACUCCCGGGGCGAUUCUUUCUCAUUGCGAGUGGAGGCGCACCAAGAGCGAGCACGCUGAAACCCGAAAGAUGGUGAACUAUGCCUGGCCAGGACGAAGCCAGGGGAAACCCUGGUGGAGGUCCGCAGCGAUUCUGACGUGCAAAUCGAUCGUCGGAGCUGGGUAUAGGGGCGAAAGACCAAUCGAACCAUCUAGUAGCUGGUUCCCUCUGAAGUUUCCCUCAG
rnacentral:rRNA from 1 species